rnacentral:sRNA from 1 species
CCCGGGCUCCGCCUUCCCGGUCGUGUCCGGAAUCUAUUUAAGGGAGCCGCACUUCAAAGAGUCAGGAGGAAUAGUGUGUGCAGACAGGAACUGGGGCCUUGCCUUUGAAAAAGUGAUUAAGGCCAACAUUGAGAUGAAAAAGGACAAAAAAAAAAAAAUUAAGAAAGAAUUUUGAAGGGAUGCAAUCCUGGGACAGUUACUAGUUGAGUGCCUAAUAGGUGCUCCAUGCUGUUCUAGGCAUAUAUAGGAAAAGUCACUUUCUAGAGUUUUCGUCCUCGUGACCUAAGAGAGGGAACAUGAACAUUAACAAGUAAAAAAAAAAAAAUUCACAGGUCACCAGGGAGGUCUUUGCACGCCUUUGUUCAUGCUCUGAAGAAACAAGCCUAGACAACAGAGGCUGGAUGAGAGGAAUACUCCUGGGCUGAGAGAAUAUCAGCCUCAAACACAGAGGUGGGAUGUGUCUGCCAUAUUUCACGAAUGGCAAAAGGCAAGAGAAAGGAUGGAUGAGCAGAGUCUAUGGCCAAAGAGCAGAGUAGUGAGGCGCCGAGAUCUGGACAAAUGGCCCGACCCUGUGGAGCCUGUAGGCCAUUGUAAUGGCAACAGGAAGCCCUGAGGAGAGGGUGGGCCCACAAAUAACUAUAUCUAGUCCAUUUUUUUUAAAGGUUAAUAUUACUUAGGGUGUGCUCUCUUACUCCUGUAAUCCCAGCAUUUUGAAAAUAAGAACAGGAGAAUCGUCACAAGUUUGAGGCUAGCCCGGACUACACAAUGAGUUUCCACAAGUUUGAGGUUAGCCAGGACUGCACAAUGGGUUUCAGGCUCAUCCGGAGCUGGAGUGAGUCUUGCUGUGUGUGUAAAAUACCCAACAGAAGCAUGAAUGUCCACAGAGGAAGUCUAGUAGGUGGCUGCUCAUGUCCAAUUGGCCAAGAGUGACAGCGGCAUGCCAGCCUCUCUUAACAUGGUGGUCAUAUAUCUACACUGAGAUCACUCCGCAAGGUACGGUCCGUUGCUGAUGAGAGUCAAUGCGAGAAGGGUGAGAGAGGUGCCCAUGUCUCAAAUUUGGGGGAGGACAAGUGAAUCUAUUUUAUAAAGGAGAAGGUAAUAUAAUUAAUCACUCUAAUGCUUCUACCUGGACGAAGAUGGAAGUUUAGAAGGUGGACGACAUUGUGAAGUUGGUGACAUCACUCAAGCGUGAUGACAGCUGGCUGGCCAGUAGGUCACCAUUUCCCUUUGUUGCAUUCCACUUCCCACAUGCUGGGAAGGCAAGGCUGAGGAGGACAUGUGAGACGGGCAGGCUUCAGGGUCUGAACCAACACUAGCCUAGCUGUCAUCUGUGGGAAGUGGCUUUCGGUUGACCAGUGGCACUUCCCAGUGUCAGCACGCGUGUUGUGUCAGCAGCUCAGACUCUGCGCUAGGGGGCCCCUGUCCUCAGCCAUCCUCCAUCUUGGGAAAACUCUCUGGUGUAACGAGCAGGGCCUCAGUGGGGAGGUAGGAUGCAGCCUCAGCGAAGCAGAUGGUUGGGUACUUGAACAGCAAUCUAGUACAGGAAGGAGAAGACUCUGAGAAUUGAGGAAUGAAUGGUAAUUGGAUUGGAACCUUAUCUUUAUUCUCGUAACUUUGAUAGAGACCUGGCAGCACCUUGCACUACAAUCUCCCUUAAUAAAGGGCAUUACCAUGCCAUGACCCAACUCACGUGUCCUGCCCCAUACAUAUUGAAAUCUCCCUUUCAACUUUGGAAGAGGGUGUGUUGGAGUAGAUCUUCUUGAAACUUUGUUCUCAUCUUCCAGGGUGAGAGAGGAAGAGGGAGAGGAAGAAAGACAGAGACAGACAGACAGACAGACAGACAGACAGACACAGACAGAGACACAGAGACACAGAGACACAGAGACACAGAGGCAGAGAGAGAAUGAGAGAACAUUACAGGUUGACAAGGUAGCAAAAUAAUUCCAAGGCAGCUGUUCUAGGAUUUCCUGAAAUAGAAGAGUGAAUAUUUGCUAGAUAUAAAGGUGAGGCCUGUAGGUUCCUUGUUUCUCCACCAUUUUUAUUAUGAUCUCUUGCCCCAGAAAAGGAGGAAAACAAACUAAGAAUGAGUGCCUCUCCCCCAGCACAUUCUAACUUGGCGUAUCAGCAUGGUAUCGGGGAGGAGGAAUCGGCAACUGACAUUUACCUAGUGCUAACUCUACUUGUUUAAACCGUUAUAUGUUAUCUAUAUAACUGCACUGAACACUGGGAUACAGAGGCAUACUGUGUCUGUGUUGUUAUCCCCAUUUUAAAAGAGAACGCCAUUGGGCUCUUGUAGUUAGGAAAUGAUGAGGUCAAACUCUAAAACCCAAGGCUUCCUGGCUGCAAAGUCCACUUUCUUUCCAGUUGCCUUGCUGAAGUGCCUGCUCUGAAUGAAGAAGAACUGGGUCCUGCAGUAUGUCCACAGGAAGAAGACUGUGUGUGAGUGCAGCCUCCAUGUUCACUGUGCCUCAUGCCAUCCCUGAUGUCAGGGGGAAAUGAAUGGUCAUUUAAAAAUUCCGGCUGGCUAAAGAGCUGGUGGUUUGAAUGAAUGCAUCUAAUUGCAAAAUGUGAAGGACUGCCCCUGGUAUUAAAAAGAUGGAUGAUUCUGUGAAGGGAAUGUGCUAAGACUUGUUUGUUGAAAAUGGAAUUAUUAAUGACUUGUCAGUAAAUUUAAGAAUGCCUUAAAUCAUUCCACUCUUACUCUUUUCAUACAAGGAAUAAAACAGAUGAAUUUAUAAAGGG